rnacentral:miRNA from 1 species
ACCCUUUUUCUCUUUCCCAG